rnacentral:rRNA from 1 species
GACGAACGCUGGCGGCGUGCCUAAUACAUGCAAGUAGAACGCACAGUAUAUACCGUAGCUUGCUACACCAUAGACUGUGAGUUGCGAACGGGUGAGUAACGCGUAGGUAACCUGCCUGGUAGCGGGGGAUAACUAUUGGAAACGAUAGCUAAUACCGCAUAAUAUUAAUUAUUGCAUGAUAAUUGAUUGAAAGAUGCAACUGCAUCACUACCAGAUGGACCUGCGUUGUAUUAGCUAGUAGGUGAGGUAACGGCUCACCUAGGCGACGAUACAUAGCCGACCUGAGAGGGUGAUCGGCCACACUGGGACUGAGACACGGCCCAGACUCCUACGGGAGGCAGCAGUAGGGAAUCUUCGGCAAUGGACGAAAGUCUGACCGAGCAACGCCGCGUGAGUGAAGAAGGUUUUCGGAUCGUAAAGCUCUGUUGUAAGAGAAGAACGGGUGUGAGAGUGGAAAGUUCACACUGUGACGGUAUCUUACCAGAAAGGGACGGCUAACUACGUGCCAGCAGCCGCGGUAAUACGUAGGUCCCCAGCGUUGUCCCGGAUUUUAUUGGGCG